GUCUUUUUGAAUUUAAUUUAAAGUCUAACCUGCCCAUUGAAUACAUUUAAAAGGCUGCGGUAUUUUGACCGUACAAAGGUAGCAUAAUCAUUAGUUUUUUAAUUGAAAACUAGAAUGAAUGGUUGAAUGAAAUAUUAACUUUUUUAACUAAAAAAAUUGAAUUUUACUUUUUAAUUAAAAGGUUAAAAUAUUUUUAAAAGACGAGAAGACCCUAUAGAGUUUAAUAAUUUAAUUAUAUUAUUUAAUAAGAUUAUUAGUUAUUAUAUAAUAAACAUUAUUUUGUUGGGGUGAUAAUAAAAUUUAAUAAACUUUUAUUUAUUUUUACAUUAAUAAAUGAAUAAUUGAUCCAAUAUUAUUGAUUAAAAAUUUAAAUUACCUUAGGGAUAACAGCGUAAUUUUUUUUUAAGUUCAUAUUAAUAAAAAAUUUUGCGACCUCGAUGUUGGAUUAAGAUUUAAUUUUAGGUGCAGCAGUUUAAAAUUUAAGUCUGUUCGACUUUUUAAUUCUU
rnacentral:rRNA from 1 species